CCCUUAGAUGUUCUGGGCCGCACGCGCGCUACACUGAUCGAUUCAACGAGUUUUAUAAUAUUUUUGUUAAAAAUUUAUAUAUCCUUUGUCGGAAGGCAUGGGUAAUCUUUUAAAUGUCGAUCGUGAUGGGGCUAGAUUCUUGCAAUUAUUAAUCUCCAACGAGGAAUUCCUAGUAAACGCAAGUCAUCAGCUUGCAUUGAUUACGUCCCUGCCCUUUGUACACACCGCCCGUCGCUCCUACCGAUCGAAGAGUUAGGUGAAUUGUUUUGAUCGAUAAGAUUUGACUAUGGUCAACUCUCGUUGUGAAAUUCUGUGAAUCUGACUGUUUAGAGGAAGGAAAAGUCGUAACA
rnacentral:rRNA from 1 species